GUCCACGCUGUAAACGAUGAACACUAGUUAUUGGUGGUAUAAACUCCAUCGGUGACGUAGCUAACGCAUUAAGUGUUCCGCCUGGGGAGUACGGUCGCAAGAUUAAAACUCAAAGGAAUUGACGGGGGCCCGCACAAGCGGUGGAUUAUGUGGUUUAAUUCGAAGCAACGCGCAGAACCUUACCUGGGCUUGAACUCCUCCGAAUUUGUUAGAGAUAAUGAAGUGCCCGCAAGGGAAUGGAGAGAGAGGUGCUGCAUGGCUGUCGU
rnacentral:rRNA from 1 species